AGAAGAAGAGGAGGAAGAGGAGGAGGAGAAGCCCAGCUGAUUGGAAACAUCUGGGUGAUUGUAGGCAGCACUUCCACAUCAUCCAUCGCUGGCUGAGGUUUGACGGUGACCUCUGAAGUGACAGCUUUGACCUCGGCCAGUGUGCAUGCGUGCAGCUGCCAGAGACCAGACUGGCUGAAAAAGGAAGCAGGAGUCAGACGCUCCAGGCGAUGGACGCCGCCGCAGCCUCAGAUGGGAGUUCUGUUGACAGCCGACGCUUCAGUAUGUGGCGCUGACCACCGCUCUCCCGGCUGUGGCCUCUCUACACUGCUGAGCACAGCAGGUACGGUGUGAAGACCGGCUGAGAUUCCCAAUAAAGUGGACAUUACAGGGAUAAACAACGGCCGUCCUCGCAGAGACAAUAAGAUCCAGCGGUCAACGUCGCACCAAAGGCAAGUCGGGGGUUGGAACUGAGGCGCUGUUGAGUCCAGG